UGGGGAAUCUUGCGCAAUGGGCGAAAGCCUGACGCAGCAACGCCGCGUGCGGGAAGAAGGCCUUCGGGUUGUAAACCGCUUUCAGCGGGGACGAAGCCGACUGGGUUAACUGCCCAGCGCGGUGACGGUACCCGCAGAAGAAGCCCCGGCUAACUACGUGCCAGCAGCCGCGGUAAUACGUAGGGGGCAAGCGUUGUCCGGAAUCAUUGGGCGUAAAGCGCGUGUAGGCGGCUUGGUGUGUCCGGUGUGAAACCUUGGGGCUCAACCCCAAGCCUGCACCGGAUACUGCCUCGCUUGAGUCCGGGAGGGGAGAGCGGAAUUCCUAGUGUAGCGGUGAAAUGCGCAGAUAUUAGGAAGAACACCGGUGGCGAAGGCGGCUCUCUGGAACGGUACUGACGCUGAGACGCGAAAGCGUGGGGAGCGAACAG
rnacentral:rRNA from 1 species